UACGAAGGGGGCUAGCGUUGCUCGGAAUUACUGGGCGUAAAGGGCGCGUAGGCGGACAGUUUAGUCAGAUGUAAAAGCCCAGGGCUCAACCUUGGAACUGCCUUUGAUACUGGCUGUCUUGAGUACGGGAGAGGUGUGUGGAACUCCGAGUGUAGAGGUGAAAUUCGUAGAUAUUCGGAAGAACACCAGUGGCGAAGGCGACACACUGGCCCGUUACUGACGCUGAGGCGCGAAAGCGUGGGGAGCAAACAGG
rnacentral:rRNA from 1 species